GCCCGACUAGCUCAUCGGUAGAGCGCCUCACUAGUAACUUGAUUGAAGAUGCAUUGCAAUGAGGAGGCAACAGGUUCGAUUCCUGUGUUGGGCA